rnacentral:ncRNA from 1 species
AGACACGGCCCAGACUCCUACGGGAGGCAGCAGUGGGGAAUUUUCCGCAAUGGGCGAAAGCCUGACGGAGCAAUGCCGCGUGGAGGUGGAAGGCCUACGGGUCGUCAACUUCUUUUCUCGGAGAAGAAACAAUGACGGUAUCUGAGGAAUAAGCAUCGGCUAACUAUGUGCCAGCAGCCGCGGUAAGACAGAGGAUGCAAGCGUUAUCCGGAAUGAUUGGGCGUAAAGCGUCUGUAGGUGGCUUUUCAAG